rnacentral:lncRNA from 1 species
AACCACAGUUAUGUAAAAGACCCAGGAGUGCAGCUCGGAGGACUGAGGAGGGUGAGAAGAAUUUAGGAUAUUUUACCAUCUGGAGUUUCUCUGCCUCACUGGUGAUUUAAACUCAAACCUGCCAGUUUAUGCAAGAUGAUAGAAAGUACCCUGUAACAUCUGAGUUGCAAAAAUAUCUGCCUCUGAGAGCUCAGGAGGAUCUGCUUUGUGGGAGCAAAGGUAGUGAGUCAUACCUGGAAGCUUGCGCCUCUUCAUCCAGUCAGGUCUCCUAGGCAACAGUUUAUGCAGCACUUAAAAGAUGAGGAGUUAAGAGGAGAAAAUGGAAAAAAAAAACAACAGAAGUACUUUUAAUGGAACAGAAUAAACCACUGAACAGCAAUUUCCUGGCCAGAGCAGGAACUAGAGCAGAGUCUGGGAGAAGUGACCAUGCCAGGACGGUUUUCCCACCUGUGCUUCCCUGCACGACUGAAAGGAGGGGUGUGUCCGACCCUCGCUGCAGUCCGUGUGCCGCAAAGCAGAAUCCAGCUCCGACCCACCACGAAGGUUGUUAAUGCGCUAUUAAUGGUGUUGAAAUAUGAUGUUUUGGUUACAUGUACAAGCUGAGUUUGAAUAUGGAUGAAGUGUGAGCUUUCCACACGUGGUCACAGAGCAGCCAUCAUCCUCCGUGGGCAGCACCUGUCUUUGCUGUCCUGUGUGUGGUUAAGGCCCAAGGAAGAGUGGUGUGAUUGCAGCUGACUUACUUGAUCUUACUCUGUUGAGGACGGACUUCUCGUGAGGUCGGCUCAUGUAGUCGCUCCUGUAAUCGGCUUUUUGUUUAUGUUCUCAGUGCUGUUCGGCAAAUGCUGCAGGGACAUAGAGCACUGGCACGUAGCUGUCAGGAUUUGCCAUCUGGGAGGUGAUGUCCCGCCGAGCGCCCUGCUCCCUCCUGUCCCAGGCCUCUGUCACCUCCCAGAAGCUCCACACCCGCCCCUCGGUUUUCACUUCUCAGUCUCUGUAGCUGCCACCCCGCCUGUGCACAGAGCAGACAGACCCCCAGAAGUGAGCUCACUCGGGUUCUGGCCCGAGUCAACACUUACCUGCACCUGCCUUGUUUUCCUGGCCUCCUGUUCCAGUGGGAAGGAUCCUUUCCCCCAUCUGAGACCCUGGACCCCAUCCCCUCUCACCUCCUCAGAGACUUUCUUUCUCUGCCCAUUACCUGCCAUUCGCCAUUGACUCUCUCUUGCGAGCAUGUAAACCUACUCAAGUCUUACAAGUUAAAAACAAAACCGGGAGUUCCUGUUGUAGCUCAGUGGUAACAAAUGCAACUAGUAUCCAUGAGGACACGUGUUCGAUCUCUGGCCUCACGCAGUGGGUUAAGGAUCUGGCGUUGCCAUGAGCUAUAGUGUAGCACAGAUGUGGCUCAGAUCUGGCCUUGCUGCAGCUGUGGUGUAGGCCGGCAGCUGCAGCUCUGAUUCAGCCCCUCGCCUGGGAACUUCCAUGUGUCACAGGCCUGGCCCUGAGAAGCCAAAAAAAAAAAUAAAAUAAAAAUAAAAACAAAACUGGCUUUCAAUCUCGCCUUCCCUUUCUGUUAUUGCUCCAUUUACUUCUCCUGCCAGGGCCAGACUUCUUGGAAGAAUUGUGUGAAUUUUCUACCUCCAUUUCCUCACCCCCGCUCCUUCUCAGGCUGCUCCAGUCUGGCUUUUGCUCCUGUGACCAAGCCGAUAGUGCUCUGGCCAGAGCUGGUAGUUGCCUUGCCAUCCUUCUAUUGCCGUGUUCGUUAGAUAGAUUUGGAUUCGUAUCUCCUGUGACCUGUCAGCGGUGAUAAUGUUUGAUGUCCUCUCCUCUCUGGCUUCCAAGACCCCACCCUGCCCCUCUGGCUUUUUCUCCUCCUUGCCCUUUGCAGGUUCCUUCUCUCCAUCUCUAAGCUUCAUGCUUUGUAGUCAGAGGCCAACUAGACAUUCUCACUUUGCUAUCUUGCUAGUGUCUCAGAGCCAACAGAUUCCACACUGAUCCAAGUUACCCAAGCUUGAAACUUGUGACUUACUGAGCCUUCUCUCUCCUCAUCUUCCAAAUCCAGAAAAAAAAAAAAAAAUCUGGUCAAAAGUCCACAUAUGGACCAUUCUGAAACCCAUCUACUCUGUCUCCAGUGAGUCCUUCUUGGUUACCAUCACCUUUACCUAAAUUAUGGUAUUUUAGCCUCCCUCUCCUUGCUCUUGGUGUCCCUCCCCCUGCCAUUCUCCUGAUGCAUCCAGAGUGAUGCUUCUAAGAGCAUCCUUAUCUGCCAUCCUCUGCUUACACUCUUACCCAUUUUCAUGAUAUCCUGUACUCAACCUGAUUGGGCCCCUGUAGAGUAUGUGUUCUGACUCUACCCAUAAAUAAGUCGUCGAACACUAGAAUUCACGGGGAGAUGCAGAAGAGGGUUAUUUCCUACUCCGCAAAGCAGGACGUAAUGAAAAUCCCAACUGGGUAUCACUCUCUUCCACCUGCAAGGUUUCUAUCAUGGGCCUCAUACCCCUGCCAGCCCUCCCAGCCUUCCCCCUCUCACCUGUUCAUGUCUCCCAACACUAGCUACUCCCACCUUUGGUUUUGAUGGAGGGACGAUGGCAUCCUCUGUACCAUUCAGUGCCCAACCCAGUGCCUAGUAUAUAGUAUACUGUAUGUACUUUACAUUCAGCAAAUAUUCUUGAAUGGAAUUCAUCAAUCAAAUGACUUGUAUAAAGACUAUUUCAAUUAUGCUAUGCUUCUGACCUCUAAUAAGCUGCCUUUAAAAUAUAAAAUGUACCUAUUACGGAGUUUCCGUCGUGGCGCAGCAGAAACAAAUCCAACUAGGAACCAUGAGGUUGCUGGUUCAAUCCCUGGCCUUGCUCGGUGGGUUAAAGAUCCGGUGUUGCCGUGAGCUGUGGUGUAGGUCACAGACAUGGCUCGGAUCUAGCUGCUGUGGCUGUGACAGCUGUAGCUCCAGUUAGACCCCUAGCCUGGGAAUCUCCAUAUGCCGCAGGAGCGGCCCUAAAAGAAAAAGAGAAAGAAAAAAAAA